GCUGGGAUGGCUCAGUUGGUAGAGCAUGAGACUUUCAAUCUCAGGGUUGAGGGUUCGAGUCCCAUGUUGGGCA